AGCUCUAAUAGCGUAUAUUAAAGUUGUUGCAGUUAAAAAGCUCGUAGUUGAACUUUGGGUCUGGCUGGGUGGUCAUCCUUAGGGAUUGCACUGCAAGGUCGGAUCUUUCCUUCUGGCGAACUAUUGUGCCAUUAAUUUGGUGCGAUAGGGAACCAGGACUUUUACUUUGAAAAAAUUAGAGUGUUUAAAGCAAGCUUACGCUUGAAUACAUUAGCAUGGAAUAAUAAAAUAGGACUUUGGUUUUAUUUUGUUGGUUUUCAAGACCGAAGUAAUGAUUAAUAGGGUCAGUUGGGGGCAUACGUAUUGCAUCGUCAGAGGUGAAAUUCUUGGAUUGAUGCAAGACGAACAUCUGCGAAAGCAUUUGCCAAGGAUGUUUUCA
rnacentral:rRNA from 1 species